rnacentral:sRNA from 1 species
GCUGGGUGUGGUGGAAGACACCUGUAAUCCCAGCAUCUCAGGAGGCUGAGGCAAGAGGAUUGCAAGAUCCUGGUCAGGCUCAGCAAUUUAGCAAGUAACUUAGUGGGCUCCUGUCUCAA